rnacentral:rRNA from 1 species
CAGUCGCCACGGUAAUACGAGGGGGGCAAGCGUUGUUCGGAAUUAUUGGGCGUAAAGGGUGCGUAGGCGGUUUGGCAAGUCUUGUGUGAAAUCUUCGGGCUCAACCCGAAGCCUGCACGAGAAACUGCCGGGCUUGAGUAUUGGAGAGGUGAGUGGAAUUUCCGGUGUAGCGGUGAAAUGCGUAGAUAUCGGAAGGAACACCUGUGGCGAAAGCGGCUCACUGGACAAUAACUGACGCUGAUGCACGAAAGCUAGGGGAGCAAACAGGAUUAGAUACCCAGUAGUCCCUGUCUCUUAUACA